UACGGAGGGUGCGAGCGUUGUCCGGAAUCAUUGGGCGUAAAGGGCGCGUAGGUGGCCCGGUCAGUUCGUGGUGAAAGCGCGGGGCUCAACCCUGCGUCGGCCAUGAAUACUGCCGCGGCUGGAGCACUGUAGAGGCAGGCGGAAUUCCAUGUGUAGCGGUGAAAUGCGUAGAGAUAUGGAGGAACACCAGUGGCGAAGGCGACUUUCUGGUCUGUAACUGACACUGAGGCGCGAAAGCGUGGGGAGCAAACAGG
rnacentral:rRNA from 1 species